rnacentral:misc_RNA from 1 species
UGACCUCGCCAAUGUGGUUC